GGAUCUGAGGGCACCAUUGAUCAUCAAGUUUGAUUGAGCUGAUCUGGAUGGCUAGAUAGGUGUUCCCUCCUUCCCUCACUCUUCUAUAUGUGUCUCUGUCCCUCUACUCCCAAGCUGUGUCCUCCAUUGAAGAGAAUGGCUUUCUGGAAUAGACAGACUGUCCUCCAGUUUAGGGUACACGAGUAGUUGCUAGAACCUCGAAACAAGCUCUCCAGAUCCAUUUGUAGGAGAACUAGUCAAGCUUGAAGACGCCAGGCAUAUCCAAAUGGAGAGCUGCAUGUGGCAGGCUGCCUUU
rnacentral:snRNA from 1 species